ACUGCUCAGUAACACGUAGUCAAUCUACCCUAUGGACGGGAAUAACCCCGGGAAGCUGAGAAUAAUGCCCGAUAGAACAUUAUGCCUGGAAUGGUUUAUGUUUCAAAUGAUUUAUCGCCAUAGGAUGGGACUGCGGCCUAUCAGUUUGUUGGUGAGGUAAUGGCCCACCAAGACUAUUACAGGUACGGGCUCUGAGAGGAGUAGCCCGGCGAUGGGUACUGAGACACGGACCCAGGCCCUAUGGGGCGCAGCAGGCGAGAAAACUUUGCAAUGUGCGAAAGCACGACAAGGUUAAUCCGAGUGGUUUCUGCUAAAGAAACCUUUUGUCAGUCCUAGAAACACUAACGAAUAAGGGGUGGGCAAGUUCUGGUGUCAGCCGCCGCGGUAAAACCAGCACCUCAAGUGGUCAGGAUGAUUAUUGGGCCUAAAGCAUCCGUAGCUCGUUUUGUAAGUUUUCGGUUAAAUCCAUGCGCUUAACGUAUGGGCUGCCGGGAAUACUGCAUAACUAGGAAGUGGGAGAGGUAGACGGUACUCAGUAGGAAGGGGUGAAAUCCUUUGAUCUCUUGAUGACCACCUGUGGCGAAGGCGGUCUACCAGAACACGUUCAACGGUGAGGGAUGAAAGCUGGGGGAGCAAACCGGAUUAGAUACCCGGGUAGUCCCAGCUGUAAACUAUGCAAACUCAGUGAUGCAUUGGCUUAUGGCCAAUGCAGUGCUGCAGGGAAGCCGUUAAGUUUGCCGCCUGGGAAGUACGUACGCAAGUAUGAAACUUAAAGGAAUUGGCGGGGGAGCAC
rnacentral:rRNA from 1 species